rnacentral:miRNA from 2 species
AGGCUCUGAUACCAAUUGAUG